GGGUCGUUAGCUCAGUUGGUAGAGCAGCGGACUCUUAAUCCGUAGGUCGAAGGUUCGAGCCCUUCACGACCCA
rnacentral:tRNA from 1 species